UGGGCGUUAAGUUGCAGGGUAUAGACCCGAAACCCGGUGAUCUAGCCAUGGGCAGGUUGAAGGUUGGGUAACACUAACUGGAGGACCGAACCGACUAAUGUUGAAAAAUUAGCGGAUGACCUGUGGCUGGGGGUGAAAGGCCAAUCAAACCGGGAGAUAGCUGGUUCUCCCCGAAAGCUAUUUAGGUAGCGCCUCGUGAAUUCAUCUCCGGGGGUAGAGCACUGUUUCGGCUAGGGGGCCAUCCCGGCUUACCAACCCGAUGCAAACUGCGAAUACCGGAGAAUGUUAUCACGGGAGACACACGGCGGGUGCUAACGUCCGUCGUGAAGAGGGAAACAACCCAGACCGCCAGCUAAGGUCCCAAAGUCAUGGUUAAGUGGGAAACGAUGUGGGAAGGCCCAGACAGCCAGGAUGUUGGCUUAGAAGCAGCCAUCAUUUAAAGAAAGCGUAAUAGCUCACUGGUCGAGUCGGCCUGCGCGGAAGAUGUAACGGGGCUAAACCAUGCACCGAAGCUGCGGCAGCGACACUGUGUGUUGUUGGGUAGGGGAGCGUUCUGUAAGCCUGUGAAGGUGUGUCGUGAGGCAUGCUGGAGGUAUCAGAAGUGCGAAUGCUGACAUAAGUAACGAUAAAGCGGGUGAAAAGCCCGCUCGCCGGAAGACCAAGGGUUCCUGUCCAACGUUAAUCGGGGCAGGGUGAGUCGACCCCUAAGGCGAGGCCGAAAGGCGUAGUCGAUGGGAAACGGGUUAAUAUUCCCGUACUUGGUGUUACUGCGAAGGGGGGACGGAGAAGGCUAUGUUGGCCGGGCGACGGUUGUCCCGGUUUAAGCGUGUAGGUGUGUGUUCCAGGUAAAUCCGGUUCACUUUAACACUGAGGCGUGACGACGAGGCACUACGGUGCUGAAGCAACAAAUGCCCUGCUUCCAGGAAAAGCCUCUAAGCAUCAGGUAACAUCAAAUCGUACCCCAAACCGACACAGGUGGUCAGGUAGAGAAUACCAAGGCGCUUGAGAGAACUCGGGUGAAGGAACUAGGCAAAAUGGUGCCGUAACUUCGGGAGAAGGCACGCUGACACGUAGGUGAAGUGAUUUACUCAUGGAGCUGAAGUCAGUCGAAGAUACCAGCUGGCUGCAACUGUUUAUUAAAAACACAGCACUGUGCAAACACGAAAGUGGACGUAUACGGUGUGACGCCUGCCCGGUGCCGGAAGGUUAAUUGAUGGGGUCAGCGCAAGCGAAGCUCCUGAUCGAAGCCCCGGUAAACGGCGGCCGUAACUAUAACGGUCCUAAGGUAGCGAAAUUCCUUGUCGGGUAAGUUCCGACCUGCACGAAUGGCGUAAUGAUGGCCAGGCUGUCUCCACCCGAGACUCAGUGAAAUUGAACUCGCUGUGAAGAUGCAGUGUACCCGCGGCAAGACGGAAAGACCCCGUGAACCUUUACUAUAGCUUGACACUGAACAUUGAGCCUUGAUGUGUAGGAUAGGUGGGAGGCUUUGAAGUGUGGACGCCAGUCUGCAUGGAGCCGACCUUGAAAUACCACCCUUUAAUGUUUGAUGUUCUAACGUGGACCCGUUACCCGGGUUGCGGACAGUGUCUGGUGGGUAGUUUGACUGGGGCGGUCUCCUCCUAAAGAGUAACGGAGGAGCACGAAGGUUGGCUAAUCCUGGUCGGACAUCAGGAGGUUAGUGCAAUGGCAUAAGCCAGCUUGACUGCGAGCGUGACGGCGCGAGCAGGUGCGAAAGCAGGUCAUAGUGAUCCGGUGGUUCUGAAUGGAAGGGCCAUCGCUCAACGGAUAAAAGGUACUCCGGGGAUAACAGGCUGAUACCGCCCAAGAGUUCAUAUCGACGGCGGUGUUUGGCACCUCGAUGUCGGCUCAUCACAUCCUGGGGCUGAAGUAGGUCCCAAGGGUAUGGCUGUUCGCCAUUUAAAGUGGUACGCGAGCUGGGUUUAGAACGUCGUGAGACAGUUCGGUCCCUAUCUGCCGUGGGCGCUGGAGAACUGAGGGGGGCUGCUCCUAGUACGAGAGGACCGGAGUGGACGCAUCACUGGUGUUCGGGUUGUCAUGCCAAUGGCACUGCCCGGUAGCUAAAUGCGGAAGAGAUAAGUGCUGAAAGCAUCUAAGCACGAAACUUGCC
rnacentral:rRNA from 1 species